rnacentral:rRNA from 1 species
UACGUAGGGGGCAAGCGUUGUCCGGAUUUAUUGGGCGUAAAGAGCGUGUAGGCGGCCUGGAAGGUCAGCUGUGAAAACUCGAGGCUCAACCUCGAGACGUCGGUUGAAACCACCUGGCUAGAGUCCGGAAGAGGAGAGUGGAAUUCCCGGUGUAGCGGUGAAAUGCGCAGAUAUCGGGAAGAACACCCGUGGCGAAGGCGGCUCUCUGGGACGGUACUGACGCUGAGACGCGAAAAGCGUGGGGAGCAAACAGG